GGUUAAGUGACUAAGCGUACACGGUGGAUGCCUAGGCAGUCAGAGGCGAUGAAGGACGUGCUAAUCUGCGAAAAGCGCCGGUGAGCUGAUAUGAGGCGUUAUCAGCCGGCGAUGUCCGAAUGGGGAAACCCGGUGCAACUCGUUGCAUCAUCGUCAGGUGAAUCCAUAGCCUGACGAAGUGAACCAGGGGAACUGAAACAUCUCAGUACCCUGAGGAAAAGAAAUCAACCGAGAUUCCCCCAGUAGCGGCGAGCGAACGGGGAACAGCCCAUAGCCAUCAUCAGCUUGCGCAUCAGGAGAACGGUCUGGGAAGUCCGGCGACAGAGGGUGAUAGCCCCGUAUCCGAAGGUGCGCUUGUUGUGAGCUCGAUGAGUAGGGCGGGACACGUGAUAUCCUGUCUGAAGAUGGGGGGACCAUCCUCCAAGGCUAAAUACUCCUGACUGACCGAUAGUGAACCAGUACCGAGAGGGAAAGGCGAAAAGAACCCCGGCGAGGGGAGUGAAAUAGAACCUGAAACCGUGUACGUACAAGCAGUGGGAGCAUCCUUCGGGGUGUGACUGCGUACCUUUUGUAUAAUGGGUCAGCGACUUAUAUUCUGUAGCAAGGUUAACCGUAUAGGGGAGCCGUAGGGAAACCGAGUCUUAACUGGGCGUCUAGUUGCAGGGUAUAGACCCGAAACCCGGUGAUCUAGCCAUGGGCAGGUUGAAGGUUGGGUAACACUAACUGGAGGACCGAACCGACUAAUGUUGAAAAAUUAGCGGAUGACUUGUGGCUGGGGGUGAAAGGCCAAUCAAACCGGGAGAUAGCUGGUUCUCCCCGAAAGCUAUUUAGGUAGCGCCUCGUGAAGUUAUCUACGGGGGUAGAGCACUGUUUCGGCUAGGGGUCCAUCCCGGAUUACCAACCCGAUGCAAACUGCGAAUACCGUAGAAUGUUAUCACGGGAGACACACGGCGGGUGCUAACGUCCGUCGUGAAGAGGGAAACAACCCAGACCGCCAGCUAAGGUCCCAAAGUCAUGGUUAAGUGGGAAACGAUGUGGGAAGGCCCAGACAGCCAGGAUGUUGGCUUAGAAGCAGCCAUCAUUUAAAGAAAGCGUAAUAGCUCACUGGUCGAGUCGGCCUGCGCGGAAGAUGUAACGGGGCUAAACCAUGCACCGAAGCUGCGGCAGCGACACGUAAGUGUUGUUGGGUAGGGGAGCGUUCUGUAAGCCUGCGAAGGUGGCCUGUGAGGGCUGCUGGAGGUAUCAGAAGUGCGAAUGCUGGCAUAAGUAACGAUAAAGCGGGUGAAAAGCCCGCUCGCCGGAAGACCAAGGGUUCCUGUUCAACGUUAAUCGGAGCAGGGUGAGUCGACCCCUAAGGCGAGGCCGAAAGGCGUAGUCGAUGGGAAACAGGUUAAUAUUCCUGUACUGGGUGUGACUGCGAAGGGGGGACGGAGAAAGCUAGGUUCGCCGGGCGACGGUUGUCCCGGUUCAAGCGUGAAGGUGGAACGAGCAGGCAAAUCCGCUCAUUCUUAACACUGAGGCGUGAUGACGAGCCACCAGGGUGGUGAAGGAAUUGAUGCUACGCUUCCAGGAAAAGCCUCUAAGCUCCAGGUCACAUCGAAUCGUACCCCAAACCGACACAGGUGGUCAGGUAGAGAAUACCCAGGCGCUUGAGAGAACUCGGGUGAAGGAACUAGGCAAAAUGGUGCCGUAACUUCGGGAGAAGGCACGCUGGCACGUAGGUGGAGGGUCUUGCGCCCCGAGCUGAAGCCAGUCGCAGAUACCAGCUGGCUGCAACUGUUUAUUAAAAACACAGCACUGUGCAAACACGAAAGUGGACGUAUACGGUGUGACGCCUGCCCGGUGCCGGAAGGUUAAUUGAUGGGGUUAUCGCUUGCGAGAAGCCCUUGAUCGAAGCCCCGGUAAACGGCGGCCGUAACUAUAACGGUCCUAAGGUAGCGAAAUUCCUUGUCGGGUAAGUUCCGACCUGCACGAAUGGCGUAAUGAUGGCCAGGCUGUCUCCACCCGAGACUCAGUGAAAUUGAACUCGCCGUGAAGAUGCGGUGUACCCGCGGCAAGACGGAAAGACCCCGUGAACCUUUACUAUAGCUUGACACUGAACAUUGAACCUUGAUGUGUAGGAUAGGUGGGAGGCUUUGAAGUGUGGACGCCAGUCUGCAUGGAGCCAACCUUGAAAUACCACCCUUUAAUGUUUGAUGUUCUCACUCAGGCCCGUUAUCCGGGCCGAGGACAGUGUCUGGUGGGUAGUUUGACUGGGGCGGUCUCCUCCCAAAGAGUAACGGAGGAGCACGAAGGUUAGCUAAUCACGGUCGGACAUCGUGAGGUUAGUGCAAAGGCAUAAGCUAGCUUGGCUGCGAGAGUGACGGCUCGAGCAGGUGCGAAAGCAGGUCUUAGUGAUCCGGUGGUUCUGAAUGGAAGGGCCAUCGCUCAACGGAUAAAAGGUACUCCGGGGAUAACAGGCUGAUACCGCCCAAGAGUUCAUAUCGACGGCGGUGUUUGGCACCUCGAUGUCGGCUCAUCACAUCCUGGGGCUGAAGUAGGUCCCAAGGGUAUGGCUGUUCGCCAUUUAAAGUGGUACGUGAGCUGGGUUUAGAACGUCGUGAGACAGUUCGGUCCCUAUCUGCCGUGGGCGCUGGAAGAUUGAGAGGGGCUGCUCCUAGUACGAGAGGACCGGAGUGGACGCACCACUGGUGUUCGGGUUGUCAUGCCAAUGGCAUUGCCCGGUAGCUACGUGCGGAAGAGAUAACCGCUGAAAGCAUCUAAGCGGGAAACUUGCCUCGAGAUGAGUCUUCCCUGAGGCCUAGAGCCUCCUGUAGGGACGUUAAAGACGAUGACGUUGAUAGGUCGGAUGUGUAAGCGCUGCGAGGCGUUGAGCUAACCGAUACUAAUGACCCGUGAGACUUAACCUUACAACACC
rnacentral:rRNA from 2 species